GACGAACGCUGGCGGCGUGCUUAACACAUGCCAGUCGAACGGAAAGGCCUGCUUUCCCUUGUGGAUUGCGGGUACUCGAGUGGCGAACGGGUGAGUAACACGUGAGUGAUCUGCCCCCAACUUGGGUAUAAGCCUGGGAAACUGGGUCUAAUUCCCGAUAGGACUGCAGGGUGGUGCCUGUGGUGGAAAACGAUUUUCUAGUGGUUGGGGAUGAGCUCGCGGCCUAUCAGCUUGUUGGUGGGGUAAUGGCCUACCAAGGCGGCGACGGGUAGCCGGCCUGAGAGGGUGGACGGCCACAUUGGGACUGAGAUACGGCCCAGACUCCUACGGGAGGCAGCAGUGGGGAAUAUUGCACAAUGGGCGGAGGCCUGAUGCAGCGACGCCGCGUGGGGGAUGACGGCCUUCGGGUUGUAAACUCCUUUCGACCGCGAGGAAGCCACCUGGUUGGAAGGGUGGUGACGGUAGUGGUAGAAGAAGCACCGGCUAACUACGUG
rnacentral:rRNA from 1 species